GCAGAGCAUCCUACGGGAGGCAGCAGUGGGGAAUAUUGCACAAUGGGCGCAAGCCUGAUGCAGCCAUGCCGCGUGUAUGAAGAAGGACCUUCGGGUUGUUAAAGUACUUUCAGCAGUGAGGAAGGUGGGUAUGUUAAUAGCAUAUUCAUUUGACGUUAGCUGCAGAAGAAGCACCGGCUAACUCCGUGCCAGCAGCCGCGGUAAUACGGAGGGUGCGAGCGUUAAUCGGAAUUACUGGGCGUAAAGCGCAUGCAGGUGGUUUGUUAAGUCAGAUGUGAAAGCCCGGGGCUCAACCUCGGAAUUGCAUUUGAAACUGGCAAACUAGAGUACUGUAGAGGGGGUAGAAUUUCAGGUGUAGCGGUGAAAUGCGUAGAGAUCUGAAGGAAUACCGGUGGCGAAGGCGGCCCCCUGGACAGAUACUGACACUCAGAUGCGAAAGCGUGGGGAGCAAAACAGGAUUAGAUACCCUGGUAG
rnacentral:rRNA from 1 species